rfam:Schistosoma rodhaini strain Burundi genome assembly, scaffold: SROB_scaffold0001039
ACCUUACUGACGAGUGCAAAAUAGUACGAAACGCGGGUCCAGGGU